AGGACAGUAAUGCUUCCAAGCUAGAGGCAUUCAAGGAGUGGCCCAGAGAACAUGUCAUUCAGGGCCUGGAAGAUUUCCAUCAGCAUUCAGGUUCUGCAGGGGAUGGGGAUGCUGAGUAAGUGAGACACGUUUCUACAGCUUCUAGCCUGCCCAGUGCCUGCAAUGACAUCGCUGUUGCUGAUGAAGACUUACUGUUCUCAAGUGCUUAUCACACUGGGAGGAUGGCAACUGGGCAAAGCAGACACAGAAGGACAUCAUGCUGCUGACUCGUGGCUUCAGACUCUCAGUCUCCUGUAUUCCUUCCUCCUGCAAUUGCAGGGGGUGCACAAAACAUUUGCAGGCAUGAACGCAGUGAAGCAAAUAGUUGUUCUUAGGAACAAUUUCCCUUGGAGUCUUUCACAGACACCUGGAGCAAACUGGUGCUCAG
ensembl:lncRNA novel transcript